AGCUGGCGGCGUGCUAACACAUGCAAGUCGCACGAGAAAGGGGCUUCGGCCCUGAGUAAAGUGGCGCACGGGUGAGUAACACGUGAAUGAUCUACCUCCGAGUGGGGAAUAACCUAGGGAAACCUGGGCUAAUACCGCAUAACACUUACGAGUCAAAGCAGCAAUGCGCUUGGAGAGGAGUUCGCGGCAGAUUAGCUAGUUGGUGGGGUAAUGGCCUACCAAGGCGAUGAUCUGUAUCCGGCCUGAGAGGGCGCACGGACACACUGGAACUGAAACACGGUCCAGACUCCUACGGGAGGCAGCAGUGGGGAAUUUUGCGCAAUGGGGGAAACCCUGACGCAGCAACGCCGCGUGGAGGAUGAAGUCUCUUGGGACGUAAACUCCUUUCGAUCGGGACGAUAAUGACGGUACCGAUAGAAGAAGCCCCGGCUAACUUCGUGCCAGCAGCCGCGGUAAUACGAGGGGGGCAAGCGUUGUUCGGAAUUAUUGGGCGUAAAGGGCGCGUAGGCGGUUUGGCCAAGUUUCGUGUGAAAACUUCGGGCUCAACUCGAAGCCUGCACGGAAAACUUGCCGGGCUUGAGUAU
rnacentral:rRNA from 1 species